rnacentral:rRNA from 1 species
CCCUUAGAUGUCCUGGGCCGCACGCGCGCUACACUGAUGCAUUCAACGAGUUUUACCUUGGCCGAGAGGCCUGGGCAAUCUUUUAAACCUGCAUCGUGAUAGGGAUAGAUUAUUGCAAUUAUUAAUCUUGAACGAGGAAUUCCUAGUAAACGCAGAUCAUCAAUCUGCAUUGAUUACGUCCCUGCCCUUUGUACACACCGCCCGUCGCACCUACCGAUUGAAUGGUCCGGUGAAGCCUCGGGAUUGUGGCCAGUUCACUUUAUUGGGAGUUGGCUGCGAGAACUUGUCUAAACCUUAUUAUUUAGAGGAAGGAGAAGUCGUAACA